GAAAAGCAUUGCUGAUUUCAUAUUUUUUUCCAAAACCACAAUUCAACCUCAUUUUGGUCUGUAUGCAUACAACAUUUAAUAAGAACCAUUGUAGUAGAUGGUUGCUCAGCUUGGUCAGAUAAUAAAAAGAACAGAAUGUCAAAAUAAAACGGUUUUGCCAACAAAAAAUAUUAUUUCAGUGGUAAAACUCAAAUGUUUUUGCUUCAAUUUUUUACUCACUUGAGUGCAAUUAUUUGCAAAGUACAAAUCUUAUACAAACGAAUUAUGUCUGAGACAACAACCCAACCAAAGAGCAAAAAACAGCCGAAUCAAGUAAUGACUCUUCAACUCAGCAAGAAAAUCCAGCAUCUGGAGGCAGGCUUCAGCUGACCCCUACACAAAAAUGUUCACUAGGUCAGUGAAAGUGGAUGUCAUACUAAACUCAAACAUAUAUUAAAAUGAACUGAAAUUAAAAAACCUACGAGACUAACAAGGUCCAGAGGCUUCUAACAAGGGACAGGUGCAAAAAUGCAGUGGGUUAAACAUGUUUUGAGAGAUCUCAACCCACACUUAUACCUCUAUGAGCCAAUGUAGAAAAAACAAACACAGCAAUUUGCACCGUAAAACUCAUUAAAAAGAAGUCUGUGUCCAACUUCAGAAAAGGUAACAAAAGAAACAGACUAAUAAUUUGUGUAUUUUUACAACAUUUACAAAGCUAAAUUUUGUGGGAAAAUAAAGUAAAAGUUAAAUUAAAAAAAGAAAUAUUUAAUUUUGAAAUUUACUUCAAAGGAAAGAAAAUAAAGUUUAAUUGAUUUUAUUCUUAUAUGUGUAAUGUUGUAUAUGUAUUUAUAUUUCAUUUCAGAGUUCAACAACAGAUUAUUAAUUCUAUAAUUUUGAUUUUUGCAGAUUGCAGCAGUGGGAUGUUACAGUCAUAGACGUUGGAUAGACUCCGUUGUACUAGGCCAGGGAGGGUAGCACAGAGUUUCCGCAGCACUAUACAAUAGUAGCAAGAUCACUCUACCAUGAGCUUGUUAAAGGGCCCGUUUGAUGAAAGUGACAACAACGUUCUCCACGAAACUACAGAUUUGUUUUUGCAGAUGCAGCCGAGAGGAUGUUUCAGUCAUGGACUCAUUUGAUGGAAGUGGCACCAACAUUCUCAAACACUAAUAAUUUACAAAUUUGUUUUUGUUGUAGAUGCAACCUCAGUCAUACACCCUAGAGUUUGGCUAUGUUGUGACAGAAGAAGAGUGGCAUAUAGACUUCUGUAUGUCCAUUUUUAUGGAAGUGACAAAUUACUAAUCUUUCUUCUUAUAUCCAUUUCAGAGUUCUUACAAAGAUGCAUAGAUUGCAGCAGUGGGAUGUUACAGUCAUAGACGUUGGAUAGACUCCGUUGUACUAGGCCAGGGAGGGUAGCGCAGAGUUUCCGCAGCACUAUACAAUAGUAACAAGAUCACUCUACCAUGAGCUUGUUAAAGGGCCCGUUUGAUGAAAGUGACAACAACGUUCUCCACGACACUACAGAUUUGUUUUUGCAGAUGCAGCCGAGAGGAUGUUUCAGUCAUGGACUCAUUUGAUGGAAGUGACACCAACAUUCUCAAACACUAAUAAUUUACAAAUUUGUUUUUGUUGUAGAUGCAACCUCAGUCAUACACCCUAGAGUUUGGCUAUGUUGUGACAGAAGAAGAGUGGCAUGUAGAUUUCUUUUAUGGAAGUGCAAAUAACUAAUCUUUCUUCUUCAUAUCUAUUUCAGAGUUCUUACGAAGAUGUAUAGGUAUGCAGUAUUUAUUAUUUUUGUCUCUGUGUAUUUUUGUCAAUGAGGUAAAACCACAGAACAAAUCAAUCAGAAGUAUUAACUGGUGUAAUUUGAGAACACCCUGGAACACGAGAAAUAUCCUACCUCACAAAAUUUAACA